rnacentral:lncRNA from 1 species
GAUAAAUUUCCAAUUUAAUCAAGGUUAGUAAUAUUAUUUUUAGUAAACCCUAGAUUUCUAAUUGAAUGCUUGAGAAAAGAUAGCUUGGGAAAAUUAUAGUAUUGAUGAAACAGACACUUGAAAGAAUUAAUAUAAUGGUCAAGAUGUAACUUAAAUUGGUGCAAGAGAGAAUUCAAGUUUCACAAUAAUGGAAGAAGAAAUUGUUUCCAUGUUUGGGAUGAAGGUAAACUUGGAUAUGUACAUAUUUGUGAAGGUAUUGAAAACUUGAAAUAGCUCCAAUUGAUUAAAGGAAAAUUUAGAAAAAUUAUUCAAGUAUCGAGAAAUCUAAUUUUGGUUUUUAGUUAUUAAAUAUUAAGAGCUACAUAGUAUGAUAGUUGUUAAAUGGGUCAUUUUGUAUCACAUUUCAGGUGGUGAUUAAGAUAUUGGAAAAGCUUAUUGAUAUUCAUAGCAGCUUGUCUUGGUGAGUGGAUAAAACUUAAUUUUCAGAAACAAGUAUUCAUUAAAUUUUGAAGUUACUUAUUUUAUAAAGUUAAGUAGAUAGCAUGAUUUUCGAAAAAAAAAUUGAUUUUAUAAUUAGUUCUUUUUAAUGUUUAAUUCAGUUCAGUUAAAUCAUUUGAUUAGUAAGUUGUAUGAAUAUUAAAUGUUUCAGCAUAAUUAAAGUUAUUUUAAAAUCACCAGAAAGUACCCAAGUGAUUUUACCCCAAUCUGCACUGGUGUGAAUGUGUUUCCACAGUGUAUAACUAGUUAUGGUGAUUUUACCUGCUCUGCACUAUUGUGAAUGUGUUUCUAUAGUGUAUGAACAGAUUAUCAGAGGUCUCUAGGACCCACUCUCGUACACACAUAGGCUUUGGACCGUGUACUAGGGUGAUUAGCCUUUGGGGCAGCUCUGCGUACGUACGACCAGAUUAUCAAAUGUGAAUGAACUUGUCUUGUACAUCGAGAUUACUCUGUACAUGAGUAAUGCUAUUCAUAAGGUACCUUUUUGGUGGAAUUUUUCGGUAUUUUUACAGUUUAUCAGAUUUUAGAAUAUAGAAUUCAGUUAAUUCAGUUUUCAAAAUAAAUCUUUUAGCUUAUAGUAUUGAGUAGCAAUAAUAUUUCAUAGAUUUUCAUGGAUAUCAGAUUAAUUAUGUCAUUAUACUUUACAGUUGCUUAUCCAG